ACUGUGUUCUUACUUCGUACGUGGGGACCUCUAUACUUAAAAGCCUUGUUUGGUACGUCGGAUAAUACAUCGGAUAGGACUAAUAAUACUAAGUACAACAUUUGAUGUCCGUUUGUAUUAAAUAGCCACCGGAUUAAAUAAUCCGAACCCACCUCCUUUAUAUGGUAAACACCCGUUUCCUUAUCCCCUCUAAAAGGACGGUACAAUUUAGUCAGAACACUCUCGCUCUCUCCUUCCUCUCCAGAUGGUACAAGAAAAUCUCUCGGUCUCUCCUUCCUCUCCAGAUGCACCGGUCCUCUCCAUACGCAUCACUCCCAGAAGCUUUAAGCUUCUGUGAAGGAAACGCUGGCUAGUUUCACUUCAGUGGUGUGUUGAUCCUUCCAUGGCACUUACUUCAGUGGAAAUGUUUGUUUUGUUGAUGCUUCUUGUGUUUGUUGGUGUUUAAGGAGAAAGCAAAGCAGAGGGUAGAGUUUGCAAAGCAACAACAUGCAUAUAUUUUGGCUAUCUGGACAAACUGUUUCUUAUUGAAACCAACUUGUAUUUGUAUAUUUUAUGAACUUGGAUAUGUGGUUAGAUUAAUCUAUAUAACGUAAUGACUGUAGUUGUAUUUUGUGAACCUUCUUUUAUGUUAUUGGAAAAUAUUUUGAAUUUGA